rnacentral:ncRNA from 1 species
CGGGAAGAUAUCUAGGGCGCACGGCGGAUGCCUUGGCACAUGGAGCCGAUGAAGGACGCGGCAAGCUGCGAUAAUCCGCGGUUAGGGGCACACACCCUUCGACCCGCGGGUCUCCGAAUGGGCGAACCCGCCAGGAGAAGU